UGAGUGAAGUACCUGUCUUAUGUGAGC
rnacentral:piRNA from 1 species